GACGAACGCUGACGGCGUGCUUAACACAUGCAAGUCGAAGGGAGUGGCGAACGGGUGAGUAACACGUGAGUAACCUGCCCUUUUCUUUGGGAUAAGCCUGGGAAACUGGGUCUAAUACUGGAUGGAUUGGGAUGGGGUCGGGGCUUCUCGUCUUGUUGGUGGGGUGAUGGGUUACCAAGGCUUUGACGGGUAGCCGGCCUGAGAGGGUGGUCGGUUAAACGUGUACUGAGAUACGGCCCAGACUCCUACGGGAGGCAGCAGUGGGGGAUAUGGGACAAUGGACGAAAGUCUGAUGCAGCGACGUCGUGUGGGGGAUGAAGGCCUUCGGGUUGUAAACUCCUUUCGCCCGCGGAAUGGUAGUGGGUAAAGAAGCGCCGGCUAACUACGUGCCAGCAGCCGCGGUAAUUC
rnacentral:rRNA from 1 species